rnacentral:rRNA from 1 species
GAAGGCCUAUCAGUAUCCUGAGUAGGGCGGGACACGUGAAAUCCCGUUUGAAUCCGCGAGGACCAUCUCGCAAGGCUAAAUACUAACCAGUGACCGAUAGUGAACCAGUACCGUGAGGGAAAGGUGAAAAGAACCCCGGGAGGGGAGUGAAAGAGAACCUGAAACCGUGUGCCUACAAGUAGUCAGAGCCCGUUAACGGGUAAUGGCGUGCCUUUUGUAGAAUGAACCGGCGAGUUGCG